AUGCUCACCCCCCUGUUUUCUUCAUGCCCGAAACACCAUGGACGCGCCGCCGUCGCUCACACAGCCAUCGCCUCCGCCGCGCUGCACCACCGUGUCCUAGGGGAUGAACGCCAUCUCCUACGCUGUCUACAACACCGACUCGACUCCGGGGAGCCUCACAACGACAGGGUCGAGGUCGUCUUCAACCUCGGUGCCGCCACCGUCCGUCGUUCGAUCUGCGACCGAUGA
rnacentral:rRNA from 1 species